GUCCACUUGACCUAGUGAGGAAAUUUCUACUAGGUUAUAUUUUUUUGCAAACUAUGAAGCUGAUUGUGCUGCAAAAACAGGUUAAUUGAUUGGCAGGUUGGCUGGAAAACCUGGAGGUGGGAAACAGACAGGCAUUGUCAGAAGCAUAGAAGGCUAUCAGGCCAGUGGAGAGAAGGAUUAAUAAGGUAUGUAAAUGGGGUAGAUAUCUGUCUGCUGCUCACAGAGGCCAGAAGAGGACACUGGAUCCACUGGACAUGGAGUUAUGGAUAGCGAUGGGCUGCCACUUGAAUGCUGGCAACCAAACUGGGUCUUCUGCAAAACUAUCAGCCCGGGACCCACCCUAAGGAACAGGGCCACAG
rnacentral:lncRNA from 1 species